CAGAAUGAAAUCUGUUUUCUUGUUUUUGUUUCUUGGCUGGAUUUUGGCUUGUGUUGGAGCAGGGGGAGGUGAAGCUGUCUUGCUGGAAGUCCUUGCCUGCUGGAGGCCUUCUGAUGAAUUUCCUGACUGGAGUUCCACAGUGACUCCUAGAGAGCAAGCUCUCUCUUACCUUCUUGCAUGUUUCGGUCUCCAUCUGUGUAAGAUGAAGAUACAACGAUUCUGAUCAACCCUGAAGAUUGUCUGUCACUGGCAAUUUCAGAUUGUAAAUCAGUCAUGGCAACAAGGACAUGUGAAGAGGAGGAUCAAAAGAAGUUACUCAGGGCUGAAUGAGAUCCUGUUCCAUGAAAAGUGUUAGAUUCUGAUAACCAGCCCUAAACUGGUUCUAAAUGGAUUGACCGCAAGGAAAUGAAAUUCACCUUCGCACUCCAACGUGACAGUCUGAUCCAGCCAUAGAAGGGAUGGGGAAUGCACACUGUAAUCACGAAAACACUAAGGAAACUCAGCAGUGUAAGUGGUCAAGAGAAAUGAGACAUUCUUUGAGCCAAGUUGGCUUUAUUCCUGGUCUUUA